rnacentral:rRNA from 1 species
CAGUAGCCACGGGAAUACAGAGGGUGCGAGCGUUAAUCGGAUUUACUGGGCGUAAAGCGUGCGUAGGCGGCUUCUUAAGUCGGAUGUGAAAUCCCUGAGCUUAACUUAGGAAUUGCAUUCGAUACUGGGAAGCUAGAGUAUGGGAGAGGAUGGUAGAAUUCCAGGUGUAGCGGUGAAAUGCGUAGAGAUCUGGAGGAAUACCGAUGGCGAAGGCAGACAUCUGGCCUAAUACUGACGCUGAGGUACGAAAGCAUGGGGAGCAAACAGGAUUAGAUACCCCCGUAGUCCCUGUCUCUUAUAC